rnacentral:rRNA from 1 species
CAGUCGCCGCGGGAAUACGUAGGUGGCAAGCGUUGUCCGGAAUUAUUGGGCGUAAAGGGCUCGCAGGCGGUUUCUUAAGUCUGAUGUGAAAGCCCCCGGCUCAACCGGGGAGGGUCAUUGGAAACUGGGAAACUUGAGUGCAGAAGAGGAGAGUGGAAUUCCACGUGUAGCGGUGAAAUGCGUAGAGAUGUGGAGGAACUCCAGUGGCGAAGGCGACUCUCUGGUCUGUAACUGACGCUGAGGAGCGAAAGCGUGGGGAGCGAACAGGAUUAGAUACCCCUGUAGUCCCUGUCUCUUAUAA